CCUACGGGAGGCAGCAGUGAGGAAUAUUGGACAAUGGGCGCAAGCCUGAUCCAGCCAUGCCGCGUGCAGGAAGAAGCAUCUAUGGUGUGUAAACUGCUUUUGUACGGGAAGAAACACCUCUACGUGUAGAGGCUUGACGGUACCGUAAGAAUAAGGAUCGGCUAACUCCGUGCCAGCAGCCGCGGUAAUACGGAGGAUCCAAGCGUUAUCCGGAAUCAUUGGGUUUAAAGGGUCCGUAGGCGGUUUAGUAAGUCAGUGGUGAAAGCCCAUCGCUCAACGAUGGAACGGCCAUUGAUACUGUUAGACUUGAAUUAUUAGGAAGUAACUAGAAUAUGUAGUGUAGCGGUGAAAUGCUUAGAUAUUACAUGGAAUACCAAUUGCGAAGGCAGGUUACUACUAAUGGAUUGACGCUGAUGGACGAAAGCGUGGGGAGCGAACAGGAUUAGAUACCCUGGUAGUCCACGCCGUAAACGAUGGAUACUAGCUGUUCGGAGCAAUCUGAGUGGCUAAGCGAAAGUGAUAAGUAUCCACCUGGGGAGUAACGUUCGCAAGAAUGAAACUUNAAAGGAAUUGACGGCUUGAGAGNGCGAGACGACGACGAGGGAGGAGG
rnacentral:rRNA from 1 species